rnacentral:rRNA from 1 species
GCUGGCACCUUCGGUGUCCGCGUUGUAAUCUCGAGACGUGUUUUCCGUGCGGCUCUAUGGACAAGUCCCUUGGAAUAGGGCAUCGUAGAGGGUGAGAAUCCCGUACUUGCCAUGGAAGAACCGUGCUUUGCGAUACACGCUCUAAGAGUCGAGUUGUUUGGGAUUGCAGCUCAAAAUGGGUGGUAGACUCCAUCUAAAGCUAAAUAUCGGGGAGAGACCGAUAGCGAACAAGUACCGUGAGGGAAAGAUGAAAAGCACUUUGGAAAGAGAGUUAAAAGUACGUGAAAUUGUCGAAAGGGAAGCACUUGAAGUCAGCCAUGCUGCUUGAGACUCAGCCUGGCCUUUGGGCUUGGUGUAUUUCUCGGUGGCAAGCCAGCAUUGGUUUGGGUCGUCGGAGAAGCGCAUAGGGAAUGUGGCGUCUCCGGACGUGUUAUAGCCUUAUGCAGGAUACGACGACCUGGAUCAAGGAACGCAGUGUGCCCUCUGG